CUUGAGGUGAGCAGACCUGCAGAGCAGAGGCUAAACUAAACUAAAGGCUCUGACACUGCUGCCCAAAGGGGCCCUCCUUGAGAAAAGGGAGGACUCACCCUGGAGACAACCAGAGAGGGAAGUAUCCUUGGACAUGGGCAACUCCCUCUUAUUUCUUUUGGUUUGGAUUUCCCCACCAGGCGAAGGCCUUGGACUGAGCUGACCCCAGGAGCAGGAGAUGAGAGAAAGAGGCCCAGGCCCAGGCCCAGGGAGGGCAGCCUUAAGUAGCCUUGGUUGCCAGAUUACUGGUAGACCAAAGGGCCCUGGGUUGGAGCCCGGUGGAGUGAGAGGGACUGGGCUCCCCUUUCUACAACCCCCUUGGCAGUCUGGAGUUGUGGCUAUGACUACUAGGCCAUGCUUCCCAACCAGACCCUAAGUGAAGACCAUUACAAGAGAUCAUGAAUUUUAAGGUGUCCGAUUUCCACAGUCCCUGUGAAUGGCGAGUCUCUUGCCACAGUCUUCAUACCCUGCAACUUGGCCUAUAACUGCCCCUAUUGGUGAGAGGAUGGGAUUGGAUGGGUCAGAAGAGCAGAACUGGGGAAGAGAGACUUCUAAACCACAGAUGCAAAUCCAGCAAUCAAAAGUCAUUCACACCUAUUCAUCAAGUUAUCGUCAUUCCUGCAGGGGGGAAAAAAGCCAAGCGAAUGACAGCUGCUGAACUAUGGAGUCUGUGAACAGUCCAGGGACAAUCUGUUCUAUUUCCAGGCCACUUGACUUCAAAAAAAAAAAAGAGAGAAAAAAAUGAAAUAAAAAACAUAUGUAGUAGAAUAUUUAAAAGACCAUGCAUACCUCAAUAGCUUUACAAUGAUACUGUGGGACAACGAUAGUGGCUGGUAGUAAUGGCUUCUGGUGGCACACAGGAGUCCUUUGUAGGGAAAUAAGGGAAA